rnacentral:tRNA from 1 species
GUUUUUGUAACUUAUAAAUUAAAGUGUUAGAUUCUUACUCUAAUAAAAUCAUUGUUUGAUUAAAAACA